AGCAGUAGCCGCGGGAAUACGUAGGUGGCAAGCGUUGUCCGGAAUUAUUGGGCGUAAAGGGCUCGCAGGCGGUUUCUUAAGUCUGAUGUGAAAGCCCCCGGCUCAACCGGGGAGGGUCAUUGGAAACUGGGAAACUUGAGUGCAGAAGAGGAGAGUGGAAUUCACGUGUAGCGGUGAAAUGCGUAGAGAUGUGGAGGAACACCAGUGGCGAAGGCGACUCUCUGGUCUGUAACUGACGCUGAGGAGCGAAAGCGUGGGGAGCGAACAGGAUUAGAUACCCCUGUAGUCCCUGUCUCUUAUACA
rnacentral:rRNA from 1 species